rnacentral:lncRNA from 1 species
CGCAAAAAAGACAUCAAUAGGUAUUAUGCAACACUUUCGCACGAAACCACACAGGAGGACAAUGUGUGUGACUGCAGUGCCAUAGCUGUGCCAUAGCUGUGCCAUAGCGCCACUACUAACAAUAAAACACACAGUAGGCUAAUUCAGACACACAGUAGGAUAAUUCAGACACACGGUAGGAUAAUUUAGACACACAGUAGUCUAAUUCAGACACACAGUAGGCUAAUUCAGACACACAGUAGUCUAAUUCAGACACACGGUAGGCUAAUUAAGACACACGGUAGGCUAAUUCAGACACACAGUAGGUUAAUUCAGACACACGGUAGGCUAAUUCAGACAGACAGUAGGCAAAUUCAGACACACGGUAGGCUAAUUCAGACAGACAGUAGGCUA